rnacentral:lncRNA from 1 species
GCAUAGGUCAUGCAUCAUGAAUAUACAGCAGGUUGUUUGCAUUAGCAUUCACGAAUCUGUUGCAUUGCAUAGUUCAUUGUUGUUGUGGGUGAAUGCUGAAUGAUCCCAUAGUCUCUGAGAGAAGUCCAGGAGCCUUUGACUACGCCCUGGCAGGUAUAGAGAAGUCCAGGAGCCUAUGACUACGCCCUGGCAGGUAUAGAGUAAAGUCCAGGAGCCUUUGACUACGCCCUGGCAAUGGUAAGUACAGAGGUGUUAUAUACAUAUACAUAUAUGACAGGAAGACCAGGUGCUCGAUUCUACGCCCUGGCACGACAGAGUUACCGG